CUGUCCGAUGCCAAAGUGCCCGAUGCCCAGGCCGGGUAUGAAAAAGCCCUGACCUCGGUGCUGGCAUCCAUGGGCGGCUCCAACUACAUCCAUCACAGUGCCG
rfam:Desulfotignum phosphitoxidans DSM 13687 Dpo_18c, whole genome shotgun sequence.